UACGUAGGUGACAAGCGUUGUCCGGAAUUACUGGGCGUAAAGGGCGCGUAGGCGGCCUUCUAAGUCGAACGUGAAAUCCCCGGGCUCAACCCGGGAACUGCGUCCGAUACUGGAAGGCUUGAAUCCGGGAGAGGGAUGCGGAAUUCCAGGUGUAGCGGUGAAAUGCGUAGAUAUCUGGAGGAACACCGGUGGCGAAGGCGGCAUCCUGGACCGGCAUUGACGCUGAGGCGCGAAAGCCAGGGGAGCAAACGGG
rnacentral:rRNA from 1 species